UACCAGCUCUCCGAGUGGUGUGGAUGUUUAUUGGGCCUAAAGCAUCCGUAGCUGGCUGGGCAAGUCCCCUGUUAAAUCCACCGAUUUAAUCGUUGGAGUGCGGGGGAUACUGUUCGGCUGGGGGACGGGAGAGGCAGACGGUAUUUUCGGGGUAGGGGUGAAAUCCUAUAAUCCCGGGAAGACCACCAGUGGCGAAGGCUGUCUGCUAGAACGCGCCCGACGGUGAGGGAUGAAAGCUGGGGGAGCGAACCGGAUUAGAUACCAGGGUAGUCCCAGCUGUAAACGAUGCAGGCUAGGUGUUUGGGCGGCCACGUGCCGCUCUAGUGCCGCAGGGAAGCCGUUAAGCCUGCCGCCUGGGGAGUACGGCCGCAGGGCUGAAACUUAAGGAAUUGGCGGGGGAGCACCACAAGGGGUGAAGCUUGCGGUUU
rnacentral:rRNA from 1 species